CUGCAAAUAUUCUCACUGCCCUGGUUUUGUGAUAGCCAGGGCAGGCUAAGCAUUCGCUAUAGUAAGACCAUGCAGGUGUCCCUAGGCUGAGUUCUUUCUCUGGGCUUGGUUUUAUAAAUGCUGGUGCUAAGU